AUGUCAACCCUUUUUUCUCUAAGAUAUUUAUGAUGGUAUCACCUCAUGGCAUUUGUUCAAGUCCUUGUUUUCAGGGUUAUAUAUGACCUCAGGCUACUUCAGAGCCCUGGCAGUUUCUCAAGAAUUGUCUCACUCUUCUUUCUAAAGAUGGGAUACUUGAUUUGAGGGGGAUUGUUAUGGUGUGUGUGUGUUUGUAUAUUUUCAACAUGGAUGAAUAGCCUUGGCAAUGUCUUACAUUAUGUGCAUUUUUGGCAAUUGUGACUAGGGUUUAUUUAUAUCUAUGUAUUUUUUUUCUUUCCCAGGGAUGACGCUGUGUUUCAGAGGAAUUCAUAAGCAGAAUUGAAUUUGUUUUAGUUAACUCCUUAUUUGAUUGGAAUAUUGUCGACUUAACAAAAUAGUAGAAAGAGCAUUGGGCUGAAGUGAGAAGAUUUGAAUUCUAGUCCAAAAUCUGUUACUAACCAGCUCUUUGACCCUGAGAAGUCAUUUGACUUGAAUUAUAGUCUUUUUCUUAUAUGGGAAAGGUGGAGUAUACUCAGAGUCUCUCCUAAGUGCUAAGAUUCUGUGAUUCUAUGAAAUCAGACCAUCAGAGAGGAAUACUGCAGUGUUCUCCUGCAUGGGUUGUAAAUGAGAAAAAAGAAAGAAGGAGAGCAAAAUGACUUAAAGACAUUUUCAAGAAAAAAAGAGGAGAGAAGUCACUGAAAUGGAAAAAUAAACAUUAUAUAACUAUUUAUUGCACUAUGCAAUAAAAACAUCUUCAGCAACAGCCACACAAGUGAGGGUAGAGGGUCUGCUUUGAAGAGAGAAAAAAGGCUGCUGCAGAAAAAACAAACCUCAAUUCAUAAUUGGAGCUUUUGUUCUUUCUGGAUUGUUUUGUGAAGAACAUGCUGCCAAAAAACAUUUUUCUUCUGUAACCGCUUCUUUUGAAACUCCAUUCUUUUUUAUUUCAAGGAUGUUUAUUAUCUACUCAUUUCUUUUUAUUUAUUUUUGAAUCAUAUACCCCAAUGUCUAGAUGACUGGGACCACUAGGUUUCAUAUUUCCCAGAUGAGAUUAGUUGUACCGUUCAUUUUGCAGGUUUAUUCAGAGCAUUUCAAUGGCAUUUCACCUACAGUUCACCUAUAUUGAGUCCUAAGAAAUUGAAGGUGUUUCUUGAUAGUUCUCCUGCUCCAUCUUCUUCCAGGGGAUUGAUUUGGCUUCUUAUGUUUUUGUAUUUGGUUGCUCAUUAGAGAUAAGCCUGAUUAUUUGGCAUUGUGUAUUUUCUCUGUUUUAAAAAGGGAAAAUACAACAUGUUAUUAAUUAUUAUGAUAUAAUAAAAAAUGGAGAGAAGGAAAAAGA